rnacentral:lncRNA from 1 species
AACAUGGUGGACGCUGUCCCCGCUAAGUGCCAUCCAACUGAAAGACAGGCUUGUAAAAAUAUUAUGCUGUGUCCUCAGCCACCUUAGUCACUGGGUCUGGCAGCGUGCAACUUCUGGCUCUUCCCAAAGUGAAAAUGACCAUGGAAGGGAAAUGUUUUAAAUGGAUUCAGGACAUUGAGGCAGUCAGGAUAAAACAACUAGAUACUCAAAAGAGGACUUCUAAAGCUGCUUCAGAAAAUGGAAUCCACAGGCCUCUCCUAGACACAACUGUGAUGCUGCUGAUUGUCAGGAACACCCAAGAGGCAUGACAUCAACAAACAACAGCUGGAGGUCAGGCUGGCAAAUUGCACCUUGGGGUGCGGGCCUCAUGAGCCCUUUCUGGCUUGGACCUUGUUGCCACAGCUUAGUCUCUUGCCUGCCUCAUUUCUCCGCCUCCCCUC